ensembl:misc_RNA Metazoa_SRP Metazoan signal recognition particle RNA
GCCCGGUGCGGUGGCGUGUGUCUGUAGUCUCAGCUACUCAGGAGGCUGAGAUGGGAAGAUCGCUUGAGCCCAGGAGUUCUGGGCUGUAGUGCACUAUGCCAAUCGGGUGUCUGCACUAAGUUCGGCAUCAAUAUGGUGACCUCCUGAGAGCAGAGGACCACAGGUUGCCUAAGGAGGGGUGCACCAGUCCAGGUCAGAAACGGAGCAGGUCAAAACCCCUGUGCUGAUCAGUGGUGGGAUCAUAUGUUGCCUGUGAAUAGCCACUGCACUCCUGCCUGGGCAACAUAGCAAGACCCUGUCUCUU